rnacentral:lncRNA from 1 species
GGAGUGGUAACCAGAUUAAAUCGGGUAUGUUUUUUAUCCAGCCGUGUCAAUACUGCCCUCUAGCCCUAACUUAAACAACUCCAGUGAUACCAAGUUGGUUUCUCCUGCGCCUGACUUCCCUGCCACCUACAGACACGACGACGACGAUCACAAGAACACAUCUACACUGGAGUUACUUACCAAGGAGACAGCGAAUGUUCCUGAGCGGCCGAGUUUACAGGUUUUUUAAAUUGAUUUAUUUCACCUUUAUUUAACCAGUUAGACUAGUUGAGAACAAGUCCUUUAUUUAACCAGGUAGGCUAGUUGAGAACAAGUCCUUUAUUUAACCAGGUAGGCUAGUUGAGAACAAGUCCUUUAUUUAACCAGGUAGGCUAGUUGAGAACAAGUCCUUUAUUUAACCAGGUAGGCUAGUUGAGAACAAGUCCUUUAUUUAACCAGGUAGGCCAGUUGAGAACAAGUCCUUUAUUUAAC